GCCUGCGACCAAAUCACCGUGAAUGCACCCGAUCUCACCUGAUCUCACAAGCUAAGCGGGACUGAGCCCGAACAGUCCUUGGAUGUGUGACCACCACCUCAGGUGUUAUAGGCU
rnacentral:rRNA from 1 species